CGUCGCGGCCAUUUUAGGCCGCCACAUGCAAUGCAAACAUAAGCAGUAGUUGUCUCAAUUCAGUGAAAUAUAAAAGAAAAACGACAUGCACACAUGCUAGAAAGGGAGCCAUGUCAACCCGGAAAAAAAGAAUAAAGCCUGUUGAGGAAGCAACAUCAUUCAUUCUGCUCUCAAAGGACAAGCCAGGAAUUGAAGGAAAAUACAUCGAUAGCGAAAAAGGAAGAGGAGUUUUUGCUACCCAGCCCAUCGAACCAGGUGCCUUUGUCGUGGAGUAUAAAGGAGACCUUAUAUCGGUGGAGGAAUGCCAG